CAGUCGAGCGGAACGAUGGAAGCUUGCUUCCAGGCGUCGAGCGGCGGACGGGUGAGUAAUGCAUAGGAAUCUGCCCGAUAGUGGGGGAUAACGUGGGGAAACUCACGCUAAUACCGCAUACGUCCUACGGGAGAAAGCAGGGGAUCUUCGGACCUUGCGCUAUCGGAUGAGCCUAUGUCGGAUUAGCUAGUUGGUGAGGUAACGGCUCACCAAGGCGACGAUCCGUAGCUGGUCUGAGAGGAUGAUCAGCCACACUGGGACUGAGACACGGCCCAGACUCCUACGGGAGGCAGCAGUGGGGAAUAUUGGACAAUGGGGGAAACCCUGAUCCAGCCAUGCCGCGUGUGUGAAGAAGGCCUUCGGGUUGUAAAGCACUUUCAGCGAGGAAGAAGGCCUGAGGGCUAAUACCCUUCAGGAAGGACAUCACUCGCAGAAGAAGCACCGGCUAACUCCGUGCCAGCAGCCGCGGUAAUACGGAGGGUGCGAGCGUUAAUCGGAAUUACUGGGCGUAAAGCGCGCGUAGGUGGCUUGAUAAGCCGGUUGUGAAAGCCCCGGGCUCAACCUGGGAACGGCAUCCGGAACUGUCAGGCUAGAGUGCAGGAGAGGAAGGUAGAAUUCCCGGUGUAGCGGUGAAAUGCGUAGAGAUCGGGAGGAAUACCAGUGGCGAAGGCGGCCUUCUGGACUGACACUGACACUGAGGUGCGAAAGCGU
rnacentral:rRNA from 1 species